rnacentral:rRNA from 1 species
GAUACGGCCCAGACUCCUACGGGAGGCAGCAGUGGGGAAUAUUGCACAAUGGGCGCAAGCCUGAUGCAGCGACGCCGCGUGAGGGAUGGAGGCCUUCGGGUUGUAAACCUCUUUUAUCGGGGAGCAAGCGAGAGUGAGUUUACCCGUUGAAUAAGCACCGGCUAACUACGUGCCAGCAGCCGCGGUAAUACGUAGGGUGCAAGCGUUAUCCGGAAUUAUUGGGCGUAAAGGGCUCGUAGGCGGUUCGUCGCGUCCGGUGUGAAAGUCCAUCGCUUAACGGUGGAUCCGCGCCGGGUACGGGCGGGCUUGAGUGCGGUAGGGGAGACUGGAAUUCCCGGUGUAACGGUGGAAUGUGUAGAUAUCGGGAAGAACACCAAUGGCGAAGGCAGGUCUCUGGGCCGUUACUGACGCUGAGGAGCGAAAGCGUGGGGAGCGAACAGGAUUAGAUACCCUGGUAGUCCACGCCGUAAACGGUGGAUGCUGGAUGUGGGGCCCGUUCCACGGGUUCCGUGUCGGAGCUAACGCGUUAAGCAUCCCGCCUGGGGAGUACGGCCGCAAGGCUAAAACUCAAAGAAAUUGACGGGGGCCCGCACAAGCGGCGGAGCAUGCGGAUUAAUUCGAUGCAACGCGAAGAACCUUACCUGGGCUUGACAUGUUCCCGACGGUCGUAGAGAUACGGCUUCCCUUCGGGGCGGGUUCACAGGUGGUGCAUGGUCGUCGUCAGCUCGUGUCGUGAGAUGUUGGGUUAAGUCCCGCAACGAGCGCAACCCUCGCCCCGUGUUGCCAGCGGAUUAUGCCGGGAACUCACGGGGGACCGCCGGGGUUAACUCGGAGGAAGGUGGGGAUGACGUCAGAUCAUCAUGCCCCUUACGUCCAGGGCUUCACGCAUGCUACAAUGGCCGGUACAACGGGAUGCGACGCGGCGACGCGGAGCGGAUCCCUGAAAACCGGUCUCAGUUCGGAUCGCAGUCUGCAACUCGACUGCGUGAAGGCGGAGUCGCUAGUAAUCGCGAAUCAGCAACGUCGCGGUGAAUGCGUUCCCGGGCCUUGUACACACCGCCCGUCAAGUCAUGAAAGUGGGCAGCACCCGAAGCCGGUGGCCUAACCCCUUGUGGGAUGGAGCCGUCUAAGGUGAGGCUCGUGAUUGGGACUAAGUCGUAACAAGGUAGCCGUACCGGAAGGUGCGGCUG